rnacentral:rRNA from 1 species
UAGGGAAUCUUCGGCAAUGGACGAAAGUCUGACCGAGCAACGCCGCGUGAGUGAAGAAGGUUUUCGGAUCGUAAAACUCUGUUGCUAGAGAAGAACAAGGACGUUAGUAACUGAACGUCCCUUGACGGUAUCUAACCAGAAAGCCACGGCUAACUACGUGCCAGCAGCCGCGGUAAUACGCAGGUGGCAAGCGUUUUCCGGAUUUAGUGGGCGUAAAGCGAGCGCAGGGGGGUUUUUAAGUCUGAUGUGAAAGCUCCCGGCUCAACCGGGGAGGGUCAUUGGAAACUGGGAGACGUGAGUGCAGAAGAGGAGAGUGGAAUUCCAUGUGUAGCGGUGAAAUGCGUAGAUAUAUGGAGGAACACCAGUGGCGAAGGCGGCUCUCUGGUCUGUAACUGACGCAGAGGCUCGAAAGCGUGGGGAGCAAACAGG